GAAGCAGCAGCCAUAGAACUGACACCAGGACUAACAGCAGACACAUCUGUAGGCCAUUCUGUACCUAAUCCAUUCAACAAGGCCAAUAUAUUGUCAGAAGAAUUUGAGAGAGAGGCUAUCAAAUUGUUGAUAUUGGGACUAACAGUAGGCUCUUCUGUACCUAAUCCAUUCAGCAAGGCCAAUAUAUUGUCAGAAGAAUUGGAGAGAGAAGCUUUUAGAUUACUGACAUCAGGACUAACAGUAGGCUCUUCUGUACCUAAUCCAGUGAGAGACGCCAAUAUAUUGUCAGAAGAAUUUGAGAGAGAAGCUAUCAAAUUGCUGAUAUCGGGAUUAACAGUAGGCUCUUCUGUACCUAAUCCAGUGAGAGAUGCCAAUAUAUUGUCAGAAGAAUUGGAGAGAGAGGCUAUCAAAUUGCUGAUAUCGGGACUAACAGUAGGCUCUUCUGUACCUAAUCCAUUCAGCAAGGCCAAUAUAUUGUCAGAAGAAUUGGAGAGAGAAGCUAUCAAAUUGCUGAUAUCGGGAUUAACAGUAGGCUCUUCUGUACCUAAUCCAGUGAGAGAUGCCAAUAUAUUGUCAGAAGAAUUGGAGAGAGAGGCUAUCAAAUUGCUGAUAUCGGGAUUAACAGUAGGCUCUUCUGUACCUAAUCCAGUGAGAGAUGCCAAUAUAUUGGCAGAAGAAUUUGAGAGAGAAGCUAUCAAAUUGCUGAUAUCGGGACUAACCGUAGGCUCUUCUGUACCUGACCCAUUGAGUAAGGCCAAUAUAUUUGAAGAUUUUGAGAUUAUAG